rnacentral:rRNA from 1 species
AUUGAACGCUGGCGGCAGGCCUAACACAUGCAAGUCGGACGGUAGCACAGAGGAGCUUGCUCCUUGGGUGGCGAGUGGCGGACGGGUGAGUAAUGUCUGGGGAUCUGCCCGAUAGAGGGGGAUAACCACUGGAAACGGUGGCUAAUACCGCAUAACGUCGCAAGACCAAAGAGGGGGACCUUCGGGCCUCUCACUAUCGGAUGAACCCAGAUGGGAUUAGCUAGUAGGCGGGGUAACGGCCCACCUAGGCGACGAUCCCUAGCUGGUCUGAGAGGAUGACCAGCCACACUGGAACUGAGACACGGUCCAGACGCCUACGGGAGGCAGCAGUGGGGAAUAUUGCACAAUGGGCGCAAGCCUGAUGCAGCCAUGCCGCGUGUAUGAAGAAGGCCUUCGGGUUGUAAAGUACUUUCAGCGGGGAGAAAGGCGGUGAGGUUAAUAACCUCGCCGAUUGACGUUACCCGCAGAAGAAGCACCGGCUAACUCCGAGCCAGCCGCCGCGGUAA